AGGACAAACGCUGGCGGCGUGCGUAACACAUGCAAGUCGAACAGGGGAUGGGGUUUCGGCCCCAUCCCGAGUGGCGGACGGGUGCGUAACACGUGGAUGACCUGCCCUUGAGUGGGGGAUACCCGCCAGAAAUGGCGGCUAAGACCGCAUGUGGUCACCGGGGGAGCCCGGUGAAGAAAGCCCGCAAGGGCGCUCGAGGAGGGGUCCGCGGCCGAUUAGCUAGUUGGCGGGGUAAGAGCCCACCAAGGCGACGAUCGGUAGCUGGUCUGAGAGGAUGAUCAGCCACACUGGGAUUGAGAACGGCCCAGACUCCUACGGGGGGCAGCAGUGAGGAAUCUUCCACAAUGGGCGAAAGCCUGAUGGAGCAACGCCGCGUGCGGGAUGACGCUUUUCGGAGUGUAAACCGCUUUUCGUUCGGGACGAGUAAGGACGGUACCGGAGGAAGAAGCCUCGGCUAACUACGUGCCAGCAGCCGC
rnacentral:rRNA from 1 species